GCGAAUGAGGCUGUGGGUGGCUCUGGCGUCGUCAGGCGUCCCGGUGGAUGCUCUCUGGUGGCUGUCUGACCCUGUAUGGGGAAGUCCCGCUGAGAGAUCGUCCUGCUGGGUCUGGCUGCAUUGAUGCCGGGGCUUGGCCAGCACCGGUUUGUACCUGCAGGACAGGUGUUCGGUCUGGUAGCUUGUGGAGGUGGUCCCUGCCUCGACGAUGGCCUGCCGAAACUGUUGCCCGCGUCAAACCGAGGCGAGUUGGCAUCCAUUGCCCUUUGCGGUGCGGGCCUGAAGGCUGGACGGCGUUGUUGCACUGCUGGGGCUCUCCUGGACUGCCUGCAGUGUUGGGGAUGCUUUGCGAGUGGUGCCGGAACGUGCAGUCACAAUGUGCACCGAGGGUG
rnacentral:rRNA from 1 species